GUGAAUCAUCGAAUUUUUGAACGCAAAUUGCACUCUCCUCGGAGAGAAUGCGUGUUUGUGUUUCAGCCUAUAAAAAAUCGACAUCGUUGGUUUUGCGCGGUGACGUUCUGCGUUAAUUGGGUCAUCUUAAUUCCUUUUGGUUUUAAGCGACUUAAAAUUUUCUUUUUGGUUCCAUGAACGUUUCUAAGAUUUAUUUCUUUACACGUGUAAGGGUAUCGAUUUUUAUUAGACUUUACCAUCAUAUCCUAUGGCGUGCUUAGUCUUCC
rnacentral:misc_RNA from 1 species